GUCCAGUGUUGUGCUGAGGGAAUCCAUCGACGAGGAAUACAGAGGAGAGGAGCGACCGCGUCCAUCAGUGCGCCGCCGGCCGACGGGACGAAGCUCCUGGCCACGCUGCCCUUUCCCAGAUGCCCCGGUCCAGCGCCGCCUUCUUCUCGAGUGCGGCUGCGAUCUCGACGUGGUCCAGUGACGCCGCCCCUCUGCCACCAGCAAUAUCUCCGCCUCCAUCUGCCUCUGCCGCCGCCAGCAGUACGUGCUCCUUCUUCCCUCUGCCGCCCCGUCCCUUCUCGAUGCCCCCCUCACUCACACUUCGCCUUCCGCCAUAGCCCUUCCCAUCAUGGCCCCGACCCCCUAUGCCUCCAUGUCGCCAGCCACAUCUAGCCGUUCGGAACUCUUCCGAUCUGAACCUGGUCGUCCUUGCCCACCCAUUGCUCCAAUCCAAGUGCCCCGCCUGUUGGUUGGCUUUUGCCUCUUGGACGAUCAGAUUCGGGCAGCAAAGAGGCCGUAGAGCACCUCCUCCUCAUGCCCGUAUGAUCACCCAAGCACUCGUGGUGGCCGUCUCCUUGUUCUUCGUCUUCACCAGAUACAGCCAGAUUUUGUUGCUCUUUUGAAGAGUCGAUCAAGCCACUUCUCGCUGCAUACUCCAAUGUAAUUUUGUCCUGGUAUGAACUAUGUAGUACAAAACACAUAUCAUGACCACUCAUUUUUAUUGACAUUUUUUUUGCAGGUGUUAUUAUUGACAUUUCCAUGAUUUGAUUAUUGUCAUUAGCAGUCCAUCUGUAGCUGGUAAAGUGGGUCAAACUUAUUAUAUCUAUCUCACUUAGUCAAAUUUAACUUAAUACAGUAAUGUGACUUACCACGUGUUUGUUGAAUCAAUGCUGAAAACAACAAAGGGAAUAAUUAUCGCGUGUCUAAUUUAAACGCAGUCCUGCCCGAACUUGUGGCUGGCUCUCUUUUUAGUCUUGCUUACCAUCUGGAUUAGCCCUGAUCCAUCUUCAUCACCAUGUUUACAUAUACAGAUGUUAUUGGAAUAGUAUCUGGAAUUUUAGAUAUACUGAAGGUACGAUUACCUGCUAGAGCACAAGAAUCAGAUCAAAAGGAACUUGCAGUUCAUAGAUAUUGAGUAAAAAGGUCUAGACCAAAACUUGCAACCUUGGUAAAGAAGAAGAUGCACUUAUCAUAAAAAUGAAGAAGAUGCGUUGGGUCUCACAGCACUAUCGAUUCACACAGUCCACUUAUUUAUUUACAAACUUUUCUAUGGAUUACAGGACCGGAACUGAAGCAAACAAAUCAACUUCCGCAAAGAAGAUGCACUUAUGAUAAAAGAGCUUUGAUCAGCAUAUUUCAAAAGCAAAAAAAGGAAUGGCAACCUUCUGCAUACGUCCAUGUUUUGAAGUUAUUUAGUUUUCCAUUAAUAAAUAUAUCACCUCCGUGCAAGCGCUACUGCAUGAUCAGAUGAUCAAGAACUUCUUCGCCAGUUAACGUGUCUCGGUACUAUGUAUUGCAAAAACUAUUCAUCUUUUGUGCACUGAAUAUGGUUAUCGUACCUCUAAAUAAUGUUUGUUUCUAUA